rnacentral:rRNA from 1 species
UACGUAGGGGGCUAGAGUUGUCCGGAAUCAUUGGGCGUAAAGCGCGUGUAGGCGGUCCGGUAAGUCCGCUGUGAAAGUCGGGGGCUCAACCCUCGGAUGCCGGUGGAUACUGUCGGGCUUGAGUACGGAAGAGGCGAGUGGAAUUCCUGGUGUAGCGGUGAAAUGCGCAGAUAUCAGGAGGAACACCAAUUGCGAAGGCAGCUCGCUGGGACGUUACUGACGCUGAGACGAGAAAGCGUGGGGAGCAAACAGG